rnacentral:rRNA from 1 species
AGGGCACCACCAGGAGUGGAGCCUGCGGCUUAAUUUGACUCAACACGGGAAAACUCACCCGGCCCGGACACUGGAAGGAUUGACAGAUUGAGAGCUCUUUCUUGAUUCAGUGGGUGGUAGUGCAUGGCCGUUCUUAGUUGGUGGAGUGAUUUGUCUGGUUAAUUCCGAUAACGAACGAGACUCUAGCCUACUAAAUAGAUCGUCGGCUUACAAACGCCGGCGAGACUUCUUAGAGGGACAGGCGGUGAUUCAACCGCACGAAACAGAGCAAUAACAGGUCUGUGAUGCCCUUAGAUGUCCGGGGCCGCACGCGCGCUACACUGAAGUGAUCAGCGUGCUUUUUCAACCUACUCUGUCAAGAGUGGGGAACCCAAUGAACCUUCUUCGUGAUUGGGAUAGGGGAUUGUAAUUGUUCCCCUUGAACGAGGAAUUCCCAGUAAGCGCGAGUCAUAAGCUCGCGUUGAUUACGUCCCUGCCCUUUGUACACACCGCCCGUCGCUACUACCGAUUGAAUGUUUU